AACGUAGGACACAAGCGUUAUCCGGAAUUACUGGGCGUAAAGGGCGUGCAGGCGGUUGAAUAAGUUAGGCGUGAAAGACCUCGGCUAAACCGGGGGAGGUCGUCUGAUACUGUUCAACUAGAGUGUGGUAGAGGCGUGUAGAAUUCCGGGUGUAGUGGUGAAAUGCGUAGAGAUCCGGAGGAAUACCAGUGGCGAAGGCGGCACGCUGGGCCAUUACUGACGCUAAUACGCGAAAGCAUGGGUAGCGAACGGG
rnacentral:rRNA from 1 species